GCCAUAUGAUGAGCUCAAGGCAAAUGUGAGUCCUCGAUCCCCUGGGUACGUUCUCUGCUCAUGACCCCCGGUCUGUAAUCUUGGUGGUUGUGGAGGAGCGUUUCCCUGCCGCUGUAAGGCCAGACCCACAGUAUCUUCUAAUGGUGGUCUACCUCAACUUAUAAUCUAAACUGCCCAUCCAAGUAUGAUGGUGCAGAUAAUGAGGAGACCUACAAGACGGGCUCUGACCAAAAGGGGGCUGGGCAGGGGUCAUCACUCACAAAAAGGGGCUAGGGCAAAAUGAUCGUGACUCUUUGGUAAUCUGAUGGCA